GUGCUCGCUUAGGCAGAACAUAUACUAAGACUAGAGUGAUUCAGAGAAAUUAGCAUGGCCCCUGCGUAAGGAUGACACGCAAAUUCGUGAAGCAUUCCAUGUUUAA